CACUCAGUAUAAGACUAACGCUUAUACAUUUAAUAUAGUUUGCAUUAGGCAUAACUAAAGAAAGAGUAG
rnacentral:sRNA from 1 species